rnacentral:rRNA from 1 species
UGGGGAAUUUUGGACAAUGGGCGAAAGCCUGAUCCAGCCAUGCCGCGUGAGUGAAGAAGGCCUUCGGGUUGUAAAGCUCUUUUAGUCGGAAAGAAAGAGUUGCAAUGAAUAAUUGUGAUUUAUGACGGUACCGACAGAAAAAGCACCGGCUAACUACGUGCCAGCAGCCGCGGUAAUACGUAGGGUGCGAGCGUUAAUCGGAAUUACUGGGCGUAAAGGGUGCGCAGGCGGUUUUGUAAGUCAGAUGUGAAAUCCCCGGGCUUAACCUGGGAAUUGCGUUUGAAACUGCAAGACUAGAGUGCAGCAGAGGGGAGUGGAAUUCCAUGUGUAGCAGUGAAAUGCGUAGAGAUGUGGAAGAACACCGAUGGCGAAGGCAGCUCCCUGGGUUGACACUGACGCUCAUGCACGAAAGCGUGGGGAGCAAACA